AACGUAGGUGGCGAGCGUUAUCCGGAUUUACUGGGCGUAAAGGGUGUGCAGGCGGGGGAACACGUGGGGUAUGAAAGGUUUCGGCUCAACCGAGAUAGGUUAUGCCAGACUGUUUACCUAGAGUGUGAGAGAGGGACGUGGAAUUCCGGGUGUAGUGGUGAAAUGCGUAGAUAUCCGGAGGAACACCAGUGGCGAAGGCGACUUCCUGGCCUGUUCUUGACGCUGAGGCGCGAAAGCUGGGGGAGCAAACGGG
rnacentral:rRNA from 1 species